CAUCUUCAUCUUCUCUCAAUCACCAGAAGUUCUUCAACUCUAGUCCACCAUUUGCGGCCAGCGAGAAGGUCAAUACGCCUUCAAAGUUCAACCACGCCACCGUCAUUCAUCCCCCGAGCCCAAUUCGACCUCUAUGUCUUAUCAAAUCCCCACCAAAUCGGGCCAGUUUUAAUCAGAAGUUGAAGGGGAGAAAUCUCUCAGUAUAUUCGAGUUCAUAGGGAAUUAUUAGGCCUGAGAUCGAUAUUGUUUGUUCGUUUUCAAGAAGAACCUGCGACCAAUAUCGAUCUCGGGUCGAAUCGGAGAUGCCGGAGUUUUGAUUCGAAGUCUGAAUUCAAUAAGCUUUCUUUUUUUAGUUUUCAUUUGAUUCGUCGUUUUGUUUAGUUCAAUCGAGCAUAAAUUAAAGUUGAGUUCACCUUUGUGAUUGUUAAAUCGAUAAGUUAAUUCGUCUUAGUCCAGUCCUUAGUCUUUCGUUUAAAUUCUGAUUGGUUUUUGAUUCAUUGUUAGUUUGAAUGCUCCAUCGUUAAUUAGUUGUUAGAUUACUUAAUCUUCUAAUUUCUUUUCAAUAAGAUACUGAUUUGAAACUUUUCUUCGAUUUUGGCUGUUGGCCUUCUGGAUUGAUUUUUGGUCGUUUGUUUUUUUUGUGAGAUUGGUUAUAGCUGAUUAGAUAACCUUAGUUAGUUUUAACUUGGGUAAAAGGGUUAGGUUUAACCGAGGUUGGGAAGGUCAUUAAUUUCAGGGGUAUUUAAGGGUGCUUUGGGUAGUUUAAGUGGGGCAAUCUUUCCUCUAACUGAAAGAGGAAGCUUUCAGUAGGGACUAAGGAUCAAUUUCAGGUUUUGAAUGGAUAAACUAGGGAUUCAAGUCAAGAUUAGGAGGACUAAAUAGAAAAAAAGGGAAUAAUUGAGGGUUAAAAGUUCUAAAUAAGUAGGGACUAAAUGGGUAAAUAAACAUGGACUGGAUUGGCAAACAGAAUAGUAAUAGUUUGCCUAUAUAAGGCAGUCAUUUAUGCCUUGAGAGACAAGUUUGGAAGCCUAAAAAAAUUCCCCCAAAUUCUCUUGAUAAGUCUGAGUAGAGUUGAAUUCUCUUUUAGAUCCAAAUUUCUGCACAAAAAAAAACAGAACAAAAAAAAGAAUAUAGAAAACUUCAAAAAAGGUCCAGAACACUAUUCCAUAGAUGAAUCCUUAGGUUAAUUCCGAUUUACAGCCACCAAUUCACAGAUUCUAGUUCAGUUUGAUGGUGUUUGAAAGUUCAGAAGCUGGCUAGGUUUGGUUUCGAAUGGUUUCUGGUCUAUUUGGUGCUUGUGUAGAUAGGUAUAUCGGUGGCAUCUAGUUUUUAAAGCAUUGUUGGAUUAUUGUUGGAUUAUUGUUGUUUUUCUGGGGCUGAGCUGAUUGAUUCUAAGUUGUCAUGAUGCUGCUGCUAAUCAUCUGCCAUAUUGGAUCUCACUUUCUUUCUCAUUUGGCAAUUUCCAGGUAUAUAUACCAUUUGAAUCACACGAUGUAAUGAAUGAUUUUAUGGAGUUGGAAUGGAAUCAUCUGCUGAACUUGCUUGCCUUCUGCUGUAGUUUGGUCCUGUUAAUUUCUGUUUUGUUAAUUGAAUUCCUAACUAAACUAGACUGACCGGACUGUACUAAAUUGAACACUGAACGUGAAUAGGCUAGAUUGUUAAACUCUG
rnacentral:lncRNA from 1 species